rnacentral:lncRNA from 1 species
CGCGGCUCCCCGGGCCGCUGCGGGCAGCCAGGGGAGGGAGGGCCCUGCGGCCGGUGACUUCAUGAGCAGGAGGCGGCGGCGGCGGGAGGUGGGUCUCGCUUUCCGUCUCCCGGUGCCGUCUGCGGGGCGGGCGAGAGGCGGCCGCUGCGCCGGGCAGCGCGGGCGGGGGACGGCGGUGACGGAAAGCGGCAGCUGGGGGCUGACUCCCUUCCCCCUCCCGGCCGGAGGAAGAUGGAGCUCGGUUAGUGGGGGCUUGCGGGAGGAGCGGCGGCAGCAGGUAAGACAGUGA